UGCAAUAGUGACAAUAGAAGAAGAAAAGCCACACGGGCAUAAAAUAAUUAGAGCAGUUAUACUGACAAAUAUUAACGAUUAUGUAUGCUUUUGUUUUAUUAUUUCGUUUGUGAACUUUAAAAAUCUAUUUACUCACUCUUAGCUGUGUGAUUUGGGUUUUAUGUCAAUAGCAGCGUUUUAGUAGCUUUUUAUUGUGUUAACCUAGGUAGCUAAGUGGCCGCUAAUGCGUAAAACACAAUGUAUGAUUCUUUAAAAUUAUUUUUUAAAUCCGUAGACGGAAAAACAUUGUUUGAAUUAUUACGGACUCAUCCUCUGGAUUACUCGUCACCGUUGCUGAGUUGACUGCUGUUAAGGAACACGAGAGGAGUUUUGUACACGGCCGUGGAGGAUAAUUAUGAUUCACUUCCAGUUGUAAAUGAGCAGUCAUGGAUGUCCCCAUCCUUUGGGAUUCUCCAGCCCUUUGAAAAGAAAAUAGAGGUUAAAAAUCUGCUAAAUGAGUUUCCAGCAACCGAGAUCCUUUUCUUCCACAGGGGCUGGAAUAAAUUAACGGCACUUCUAUUCAUUUCAAUGGGAAAUGAUGAUUUGAGCUAUGAAUUAUGGGGGGGUGUCUGGACCACCAGCCCACAGGAGCGAAGCACGCCAGGAGGGCCCAGGUCAGGCACUUCUUCCCGAGGAUGACCUCCGACACAGCCAGUUUCCACCGGACGGCCUUGAAGAGACAGUAGUGGGGAUUCUUCUCCGGCCCAAGCCGCAGGUUCUAAUUGAUGUGGCAGAGACGUCAGCACUAAUCUUCUACUCUCCGCUGGCCGCCCUGUAAGCACCUCACCACUCCACAGUGAGACCAACAACUGAGGCUGCAGAGUCAAUUAGAUGUAGCCUGCCUGCUACCUGUUCAGUAUAAAUUUAUCUGCUGUAAACGCACAACAUGUUCACUUAUCUAGCCUUGACACAGUGGGUGAUUUCCUAUUGCUGCUGCACGGCUCUAUCAGCUAGGCCGAUAUCUCGCACGACAGUUGGCUGGCUGAUUAUUACAUAUGGAAUAAGGAGGAGACUUGGUUUUCAUAUUUGUAGAAUGCCAAUCUCCCUGUGCAUACCUCGGCUUACACAGUGCAAACGGAUACAGCAAUCUCAGUCAGGUGUUCCAUUACUAAUUUGUUUACAGUGAUAUGAAUAGAAUCAAGUGUGACACGUUUAGUGCACUCUCAUCCCUCAACAAUGUCAGCAACUUCGCCUUAGAGGACAAGCUGGAAUGGAGAGAGGACACUUGUAACUGCUUCAAUGACAUCAUAGACCUUUUCAAAUGGAGAACAAAAAUCACAACUACUGGUAACUUCACUUACGAGUGCUCCAACUUAAAUGUUUAUUGAGUUACAAAGAGUCGUUUGGAUAAGAAGUCGAUGAUGCACUUUCAGCUGUUAUUGAGCGGGACAAACAGUCAAACACAUAAAUACAAAAUGAAAACACUCUCAAUGUUCAUGCAGCAGACGCUAAUACUGAACUCAACGCGUGUUAAACGGCAACCCCGAAUGACUGCAACUUCUGACGUCACAAAAAUUUUCACAACUGCACACAAUACUACAGUAUGUACAGUAAUUUCACUUCAUGAAGGCAGUUUAUUUCUUUAUCUUCUGUUUUGUUUUCAUACAAUGGAGUCAUCCUUUGUCAUGUCGCGGUUCACAUUUUGCGGUCU